GACCGACCGACCCCGACCCACCCCGACCGACAGACCGAGCAGCCCGCCGGGGGCAGCGGGAGACUGGCGGCGGGGAAAAGGGAGGGGAGGGCGUACCCCGCAGGGGCGCUGUGAGGCUCACCAUGUCCCUGCCAGCAAAGAGGAGUGUUGUCUUUUCUGGAGAAGAAAAACAGGAAGCAAAGUCUUGAUAGAAGAUGGGGGAAACAAGGAUUUAUGUGGGAAAUCACAUUCGGCGGUGGCUGACACUUAAAGUUGGAUUUCAGAAAUGACGCAGAAGUCACAGGUUUUUUACUGGACAUGUAUGAUAGCUAUGACCCAUUGUCUAAAGCUCCACACUGUCCCCUCUCUGAGGGUGUGAGAAGGAUAACUGGGAAUGAAGAAAGAGCAUUGUCAGCCAGCACUCCUUUAAUAGCAGCAGAUGGAACGUAUGGCAAUGAUGACCAGCUGCCUAAAGAAUCUGCUUGUUGUGGAUUUAGAGAUGUGAGAACUGUAACAGUGAAAGAGAAGAGAGAGAUACCAGGGGACUGCACUUUGACAAGGACAGAGGACAUGUUAGUGAUACUGAGGUUUUUUGCAUGUUUCUCACUUAAAAUUUAUGGAUUUUAUUAUCAUAUUUAAUUUUGUUUAUUAGAAACUCAUAUCAUUCAUGCUCUGCUUCAUUAUCUAAAAGCAUCUUGGUACAUAAUCAGUGGUCCAGUCCUUCUGAGACAAGAAUCUGAAAGAUGUAUUGGAAAAGUUGUAAAAUACCUAAGAGUACAAGCAACAAACCCAGUGACUGCCUCUCUUAAUUGUGUACAGGGCUCAUGAGUGAUCAAGGAAACAGCCAGUACUUUACAUGUGCCCCCAUCAGCAGCUAGGCUUUUACAGCAGUGCAGUGUCCAGGCAACUGCAUGUGCUUUAACCUUUCUCAAAAGAAAGGUGUUUCAUUGUUGACCAAGUGAUGUUGCACACUAAGUGAUGUGUUAAACUAUCUAAAAAUAGUGCUGUGCUCAGCGAGGCCACGCCAUGGACUGCUGGUGCCUGUUACUGCAGUGUCUUCAGUAACUGGGGCAUUCCCAGUUGAGAUCAGAGGAGCCUCCAAUAGGGAGACACAGAGACCAUAGGACAUUGCAUUGGCAUUGCACGAUGUGUCCAAACCCCUCGCCAAUAUGGUGAAUAGGUGAACGAGUUGGGGUUCAGAAAGCAAUUCUAUGGCAGAGAAGAAUUCUUGGAAGCUGGAUCAGGAGCAAAUAAAUACCAGUGCUGAUGAAGCUGAAAAAUUCAAGUGUGUUCUUGAAAAUAGCAUUUUUCUCGGGCACUAUAAUUUUAGUUUGGAGUGCAGCAGUAAGUGAAUUCCUGGGACUGAUUUGAUACAGGGUGAGCAGCAAGAAGAAAAUCAAGCUCUUGCAUAACAGUACCAGGGCCGUUUUUACUCCAUUUUGAUUUUGCUGUGAGGUUAUUGUAAACUGUAAAGAAUUACUUGAGAAGGGAAGAGGACUCAGAGAGGAUUCAGCCUUCCAUUAUGUUUUCCUCCAAAGUCUUCAAGAUCUGAAGAAUCCACAACUGUGGCAUGUUCUCAGCCAGUUCAACCUCAUUCUUGUGCCUUUUUAAAUGCACCCUGCAAAUAUUUCUAUUAUUUAACACCAUAUUGUUGUACAAGUGGAAUAAUACUGCCAGUGCCUGUUCUCUUGAGUUGCACUCACUGUGUAAAUUACUGGUAGAAUGAUUAUUCUUGUUCAUAGUACUGGAGUAUAGUACCAUUAAUCCCUUACUAAGGCUUCCUUCAAACUUCCCACUACACUGGAACUUCAUGCUGAAGAAAAAUCUAGAGAAAGUAGACUUCUAAACAUUUCCUUUUUAAUAUUAUAGUGUGACAGAUGAUAUAUUUGGGUUGCUAUAUGAGCAUAUGCUUUUGAAUAUCUGACUUCUGUAGAGCAGAAUAUUAUCAUUGUUCUUUUCCAGUAAAGUUAGCAGAAUGGUGAAUGGAAAUGAUUCUGAAACAAGAUUCUUUCUUCUGAUGGAUGUGCAGUGGCUCUGCUUUAGUCAAAAUGGCUAAAUAAGGCUUUCUGCUCCUGUGGGUCUGUGGGAAUUGUGGAAUUUGAUUUGUUCAGAUGUCAGAACUAAGCCCAUAAGAAUUACUUACCCUCUUACUCCAAUGAUAUAUUAAAAAUGUACAUUUAGGAGAAUUACUUUAAGCAGAAUAAUAAGUUACGCUGUUGGUAAUACCGAAUACUUAGGGCACAAACCUAUAAUGUUGAACAAGAAAAUUUUCUGUAAGAUUUAUAGUGAAAGGCAAAUAGUAGCUAUAAAAACACCAAAUUUUGGUUUUGUUUUGUGUUUGUAAAGUGGACUUAGUGUGCCAGUUGGUUUCCUUAGAACUGUGGAUCUAUCAAAUCUUUUGCAGUGUCAGUAUUUACAUACAUAAACUGGGAACCUUCAUCCAAAUGAGGGCUGUUCGGUGUUGAACUUAAAUUUCAAACCAUUUGUUCAAGAAUUGAAGUUACAAUGCAGUGGUUUUCAUAGUACUAACCUAAUUUUCUAUUACUUUGCCUUCACAAGAAGCUGUUUUCUAAAAUCCCAAUACCUCCAUCUGUGCUCAUAGGUCACAUAAUGUAGUAUCACCUGAAAACUUUGUGUGUCUUGCUGGGGAAAGGUAGUCUGGCCUAUAUUGUGAUUUACUUUUGUAGUAAAAAAACCCUACAAAACAGGAGGAAAAAUUGCUAAAAUAGCUCUUGCAGAUUUCUUGGUGAAAUAAGGAGUUUUGCAGAUCAUCACAGACGCACACCAGAGGGGAGUAGAACUGAGGUGAGAUACUGGAAUAGGGUACUUAAAGAAACAGUGUUUCAAUGCCUUGUUUUCUUGCCUUUUGAAAUUGCUGUUUAAUUCUCUGGCUCUUUUUUUACUCUGAAUGCUUACAAGUCUGUAAAGCUUGAUAAGACAGUCAAGGGGAAUGCUGCACUGAGGCACAUUAUUUAAGAAUAUAACAGGGAUGCAGGAAUGUGGUUUUAUUCUGAAUUCUUCAGGCUUAGUAGAUCAUCAUGGGUUUUAUUUUGUAAAAUUGAAAUAUGACUUUUAUAAGCCAUGAUCAUUUGUCUGAUUUAAUAGGAUGAAAUACUAGCAUCAGUGUGAUGAUGCUUGUUAUUACUUUGGCAAGAGGCUUUCAUGUCGUGUGUCUGUUAGUGAGGAGUCUUUUGGGCUUUUAAAUCAUGACACCCCAAACAAGUUUCAGCUGUGUGUCACGUUAAGUGUUCUCAUGAGUCACUGGUCAGAAUACUGAUCAGUGGAUAGCAGGAAGGGGAAUGCAUCAAAGGAGGAAUUCCAGAGGUAGGAGAAGUGGAGUUUCAGUUUGAGAUGUGUAAAUGAAAUGUGGGUCAGAGAGGAAUGGUGAACCUGAGCACUGCUUGUGGUUUGAGUGGCCUGUGCCAGGACAAGCCUGCUUCCUGUCUUUUCCCCUGUCUCAGCAGAAGUGAUUAAUUUAAUUUAUAAUUCCAGAGAGAUUCCCAGCACUCAGAGGCCUGGCAGAGAGGAUUGUGGUUUCACAAUGCUCGGGAUUCAACAGAUAAACUGGACACUUCUGACAUCAGGUAGAGCUGAUGAGUGUGAGAAGUUGCACCUUCACCACCUCACUUAGGUCAUAGAGCAAUACUUCUUUCUGUAGUUCUUGUGCAUAAAUGUAAAGCUGACUUGUAUUUAAGAUGCCAAGAUCAGUCUGCUCUACUCAGUGCUGUGUGUAAUCAUGCUCUGUAUGCAGUGUUUGGUGGAGCUGUAUCCAAAGCCUGCCCAGGGUAUCUGGAAACAGAGAGGGCAAGAGUGUGUGUGUG